rnacentral:rRNA from 1 species
CAGUAGCCGCGGUAAUACGUAGGUGGCAAGCGUUGUCCGGAAUUAUUGGGCGUAAAGCGCGCGCAGGCGGCCUAUCCAGUCUGUCUUUAAAGUUCGGGGCUCAACCCCGUGAUGGGAUGGAAACUAGUAGGCUAGAGUAUCGGAGAGGAAAGCGGAAUUCCUAGUGUAGCGGUGAAAUGCGUAGAUAUUAGGAAGAACACCAGUGGCGAAGGCGGCUUUCUGGACGAAAACUGACGCUGAGGCGCGAAAGCCAGGGGAGCGAACGGGAUUAGAGACCCCAGUAGUCCCUGUCUCUUAUACA